CGAACGGGUGAGUAAUGCGUGACCAACCUGCCCCAUGAUCCAGAAUAGCUCUUGGAAACGGGUGGUAAUGCUGGAUGCUCCAACUUGACGCAUGUCUUGUUGGGAAAGUGUUUAGUGGCAUGGGAUGGGGUCGCGUCCUAUCAGCUUGUAGGCGGGGUAAUGGCCCACCUAGGCUUCGACGGGUAGCCGGCCUGAGAGGGCGGACGGCCACAUUGGGACUGAGAUACGGCCCAGACUCCUACGGGAGGCAGCAGCC
rnacentral:rRNA from 1 species